rnacentral:rRNA from 1 species
ACCCGCUGAACUUAAGCAUAUCAAUAAGCGGAGGAAAAGAAACCAACAGGGAUUGCCUUAGUAACUGCGAGUGAAGCGGCAAAAGCUCAAAUUUGAAAUCUGGUGCCUUCGGCGCCCGAGUUGUAAUUUGGAGAGACAUCUUCGGAGUAGACGCCGUCCUAAGUUCCUUGGAACAGGACGUCACAGAGGGUGAGAAUCCCGUGCCUGGAUGGCUGUUCUACUUCAUGUGAAGUGUCUUCGACGAGUCGAGUUGUUUGGGAAUGCAGCUCAAAAUGGGAGGUAAAUUUCUUCUAAAGCUAAAUAUUGGCGAGAGACCGAUAGCGCACAAGUAGAGUGAUCGAAAGAUGAAAAGCACUUUGAAAAGAGAGUUAAAAAGUACGUGAAAUUGUUGAAAGGGAAGCGCUUGAGACCAGACUCGACCAGUGGUGAUCAGCGGUGCUUCUGUGCCGUGCACUUGCCAUUGGUUGGGCCAGCAUCGGUUUGGACGGCGGGAUAAAGACCUAAGGAAUGUGGCUCCCUCCGGGGAGUGUUAUAGCCUUGAGUGCAAUGCCGCCAGUCUGGACCGAGGACCGCGCUUCGGCUAGGAUGCUGGCGUAAUGGUCUU